rnacentral:lncRNA from 1 species
AGACUUUGAAUUGGAUUUUGUAACAUCAUACAUUGGUUAUUUAGAAAGUAUUAGUUCAUUGACUUAUGCCAGUCUUCUAAAUGUCUAUACAUUUCAUUAUAUACCAUUAAAAAAAAUCCAUUUGUCAAUACUGUAUUGUUACUGAUCUUAGCAGGCAAUUCUUUAAAUAUUGAGAAGCUGUCAAACUCAUGGUGGCCAAAUAUAGGUUUUUCAAAAAUUGUAAUUUUACUUGAAAGGUUUAAUUUUGUUAUAGCUUUAAUUUUGGAUAGGCAACAAAUAUUGUCACUUGUGUCCUUUUUAGUGAUGGGCUCAUAUCAUUUUGUAGGCCAUAUACUCAAAUCUGAGCAGCCAUUGUUUGUCUGUCAGUUUGUCUUUCAAGUAAAACUAGUUAGCUUACAACUCAAUUGCACUAAUGCUUUCCCUUGAGGAUUGUAAUUAGUGUGCUGCAGAGGUACUUUAUGUGUACCUCCCUUUGUCACACAGAGUGUUAAAAAGAUGUGUGCUUUGGGUCCAGAUUUAAUAAAUUAAAUAAAUUUCAGUACUUCAUCUAGGACUGGCAUUUAUUUUUACUUGAGUUUAUGACAGGAAAGAAUAUGAUGACCACUGGUCCACUUUGGUGACGUUGUCUAGAUUUGUGCUCAGGUGCCAUCACUUCUACCCAUCCUUACUUUUGGACCAUCAGUGUAAAAGUUGAUCCAGUGAAAGAUGCUAAAUAAUAUCUUAGCACUUUAUGAAAUUAGUCUUACUUUCUUGAAUCAUCUGAAAGUUUCUUGGGGAUCUCUUGAAGACCAGAGACUGUACUUGGACACCUACUGGUUUAGUAGAAAGUUCUUCAACCAGAAGCCAGAAGUCUUGUUUCUAGUUGAGUAAUGCUUGUUGUGGAUUUCAGGAAAUUAUUGACCUCACUUUCUUUUCUUCCUUUUUUAAAGUAAUGUGGAAGAGAGUGCUUACAAAGAAAUUAGUUUUUGUUCAACGUUUGGAAAUAUUAUUUAAACAUGGCACUUUGUAAACAAUUGCUGUAGAGAGUUGAACUGGGUCUUUUCUCUCCAUUUAUUUUGUCUACUGUACUGAUGUUAAGGUACUUGGAAUUGAUAACCUAUGUUUGAAAAAUUUAAUUUUUCAAAAAUGUAAUACUUGAAUAUGAUCAUCAUUAACACAGACACUGCAGUCAUAUUAGAAUAUAGACUAUAAAAACAAAAGAUGUCCUCAGGCUGUUUGUUAUCUGGUUAAUAAAUGCUCAGAGGAGUUUUCUUGUGGCUCAUCAGGAACCUGAUGUUGUUGCUAUGGUUGCUUGGGUUGCUGCUGUGGAGAGCAGAGAAGACAAGGGGGGGUAGAAUUUAGAGACUUGUAGUCAAAUGCUGACUGCAGGCUAUGUUACUACCUUUGUUUACUUUAGACAAGUUGACUUAAACUCUCCAAGUCUUAGUUUAUUUAUACUAUAAGUGGGAAUGGUUUUAGCUACAUGGUCAGCAAGGCCCACCUAAGUAUUUGUUUCAUCUUUAAUUGAAUGUAAUCUUGCUCAGCCCAAAUCGUUAUGAAUUUCUUGACACACUCUGCCCAGUUCAAGAGGUUCAUCC